GGAAAACAGAGGGAGAAAUUGAAUUUAUGGCCUGUGAUCCCUUCCCAAGGCAACAGCAACAGAAUCAUCGGAUGUAUCAUCAAGCCCACGAAUGGCUCCUGAGAGGAACGUGCCAAGCGAGAGAGCAGAUUCAUAAUCAUCCGUCUGCUUCUCCGGGGACACAAGCAUAGAAGAGCUUUGGUUGUUGGGUGGAAAGGGAAGAGGACCAAAAACACCGACGCACUUCUGUGGUGCGGAUUUCUUUGGACCAUCCUAGGAAACCAACCCAAGCAUGCAAGGACCUAGAACAGAGAAGAGUCCACAAUAUGGCAUGUUUACUGUCUUAUAUAUAAUGUUUACUGUUGAACUUUGUUAACUUCCCCGUUAAUUGUGUUAUCUUGGUUGCAUGGUAGAACGUUUAUAUAUUCCUUUUCCGAGAGUUGUUUGUUCCUGUUUUUAAAAUGUUUGCUGGAGAAUAAACCUGUUGAAGUUUUCUUACUCUCGUUGAGCCUUGUCUUGCUCUAGCUUCUAUUUCAGAGGAAGGAACGGUAAAAAAAAAACCAAAAACAAAAAAAAAACAGCUCUGUUUUCCUUGUCUAAGAAAAUAUUAAUAUUUGUGAUUGCCAUUAGUCAACAGGAAACUUAAGGCACACAUAUUAACACAGCCAAUCACAACACAUUUCCAAACACAGAUUAAAUACAGUAGAGUCUCACUUAUCCAACAUAAUUUGUUAUCCAACGUUCUGGAUUAUCCAACGCAUUUUUGUAGUCAAUGUUUUCAAUAUAUCGUGAUAUUUUGGUGCUAAAUUCAUAAAUACAGUAAUUACUACAUAGCAUUACUGCGUAUUGAACUACUUUUUCUGCCAAAUUUGUUGUCUAACAUGAUAUUUUGGUGCUUCAUUUGUAAAAUCAUAACCUAAUUUGA
rnacentral:lncRNA from 11 species